AUUGAACGCUGGCGGCAGGCCUAACACAUGCAAGUCGAGCGGAUGAAGGGAGCUUGCUCCUGGAUUCAGCGGCGGACGGGUGAGUAAUGCCUAGGAAUCUGCCUGGUAGUGGGGGAUAACGUCCGGAAACGGGCGCUAAUACCGCAUACGUCCUGAGGGAGAAAGUGGGGGAUCUUCGGACCUCACGCUACCAGAUGAGCCUAGGUCGGAUUAGCUAGUUGGUGGGGUAAAGGCCUACCAAGGCGACGAUCCGUAACUGGUCUGAGAGGAUGAUCAGUCACACUGGAACUGAGACACGGUCCAGACUCCUACGGGAGGCAGCAGUGGGGAAUAUUGGACAAUGGGCGAAAGCCUGAUCCAGCCAUGCCGCGUGUGUGAAGAAGGUCUUCGGAUUGUAAAGCACUUUAAGUUGGGAGGAAGGGCAGUAAGUUAAUACCUUGCUGUUUUGACGUUACCAACAGAAUAAGCACCGGCUAACUUCGAG
rnacentral:rRNA from 1 species